rnacentral:rRNA from 1 species
CCUACGGGCGGCUGCAGUGGGGAAUAUUGGACAAUGGGCGAAAGCCUGAUCCAGCCAUGCCGCGUGUGUGAAGAAGGCCUUCGGGUUGUAAAGCACUUUCAGUGGGGAAGAAAGCCUUGGGGCUAAUACCCUCGAGGAAGGACAUCACCCACAGAAGAAGCACCGGCUAACUCCGUGCCAGCAGCCGCGGUAAUACGGAGGGUGCGAGCGUUAAUCGGAAUUACUGGGCGUAAAGCGCGCGUAGGCGGUCUGAUAAGCCGGUUGGGAAAGCCCCGGGCUCAACCUGGGAACGGCAUCCGGAACUGUCAGGCUAGAGUGCAGGAGAGGAAGGUAGAAUUCCCGGUGUAGCGGUGAAAUGCGUAGAGAUCGGGAGGAAUACCAGUGGCGAAGGCGGCCUUCUGGACUGACACUGACGCUGAGGUGCGAAAGCGUGGGUAGCAAACAGGAUUAGAUACCCUAGUAGUC